AGUGAACGCUGGCGGUAGGCCUAACACAUGCAAGUCGAACGGCAGCACAGGAGAGCUUGCUCUCUGGGUGGCGAGUGGCGGACGGGUGAGGAAUACAUCGGAAUCUACCUUUUCGUGGGGGAUAACGUAGGGAAACUUACGCUAAUACCGCAUACGACCUACGGGUGAAAGUGGGGGACCGCAAGGCCUCACGCGAUUAGAUGAGCCGAUGUCCGAUUAGCUAGUUGGCGGGGUAAUGGCCCACCAAGGCGACGAUCGGUAGCUGGUCUGAGAGGAUGAUCAGCCACACUGGAACGGAGACACGGUCCAGACUCCUACGGGAGGCAGCAGUGGGGAAUAUUGGACAAUGGGCGCAAGCCUGAUCCAGCUAUACCGCGUGGGUGAAGAAGGCCUUCGGGUUGUAAAGCCCUUUUGUUGGGAAAGAAAUCCUGUCGAUUAAUACUCGGUGGGGAUGACGGUACCCAAAGAAUAAGCACCGGCUAACUUCGUGCCAGCCGCCGCGGUAAGAC
rnacentral:rRNA from 1 species